rnacentral:rRNA from 1 species
UACGUAGGGUCCGAGCGUUGUCCGGAGUUACUGGGCGUAAAGCGCGCGCAGGCGGCGGUGUUGGCCCGGCGUGAAAGCCCCCGGCUCAACCGGGGAGAGUCGUCGGGGACCGCACCGCUUGAGGGCGGUAGGGGCUGGUGGAAUGCCUGGUGUAGUGGUGAAAUGCGCAGAUAUCAGGAGGAACACCGGUGGCGAAGGCGGGUCUCUGGGCCGAUACUGACGCUGAGGAGCGAAAGCGUGGGGAGCAAACAGG